rnacentral:SRP_RNA from 1 species
CGUCGGUUCCUCCGCGACGAUCAGCCGCUAACCCCGCCAGGCCCGGAAGGGAGCAACGGUCCCGGCCCGAUCGGGUGCCGGAGGGGUGCUGGCGCGG